GGGGACGCAGAUGCAAUUAAGGAACAAGUUGCGCGACCCGGGGGGGGACGAGCGCAUUUCGCCCCCGCGAGACGCGGAUAAAAAAUCAGGAUUACGUAUACGCACUUUCGUUCGCUUUCCUCGGAUCGCCAGACGAUAAUCAAGAUAGACGGGGGGAGGGAGAGGGAGAAAGAGAGAGAGAAGCUGUCAGAGCUGUGUUCGCGGAAUCGGUCGUCUUGACUCGCCGUAGCGUUUUUGUGUGUCAGCAGCGUCUAUCGCGUAACAUCGGACGUCGCCAACGGCACCCGCGUUGACGUCUGGCUGUUGUAGGUUAAGCACUGCCCGCGCACCUUGCAACCGCGUUGCACUACGGAGCUAUCACGAGGACGCUCUCAUUUUGACGUUUUCCCGUGAUGAUGCAUCACCACGGUGCGCGUCGCGUACACCAGCCGCUCGUGAACUCGUCUCGGCCCAACUUCCACAGGCGAGAGAGGGGAGGCAGGCGAGAAGCACACUCGCGCUCGUGCUCUCGUGUGUCAAUUACUCCGAGUUUCGAUAUCUAUCGAAAUGAUAACUAUCGAACGUCUCGAUAGUUCAAAUCGAUCUUCAGCAGGCAGAGCCGGAAAAGGUUAUGUUAUGGUAGAACGCGACAUCACCGACGACCGACGAGGCGUUCACAUCGAUCCAGCUGCAGGUGGAUAAACAUUCGUGAUCAUUGCAUGGCGAGGCUGGAAGAAUAUUAACAUUAUCAAUUGUUGAUACACCCUUGUCGACUGCCGUACCGCAUUCGAUGGGAUCGUCUAUGGAUUCUUCCGAUUGCCGGCAAUUUUCGCACACCUGUAAGUCGAUCUGCUUCUUUAAUUGCUUCAACUGCUGCCGUGAGCCCUGCCAUUUCGAAGCUAUUCCGCUCAAUGGCUCGUAUAUGCAUGAAAAAUUAAAACACAGGAUAAAGAAGGACAGAACAAUAUAUUCACUACCCUGCCACUUAACUGUAAUUAAAGCAAGAUGGUCACGUCGCCGGUACACCGAUCACGACAAUGGAGACUCCCACGCACAACAAUUGUCACCCUUAAUUGCUCCUGUCGUCCACCUGGCAAGAUGGGAGCUCUCGGAGCGGUCAACGAUAGGACACCGUCAUCCCGUUCGCGGAUACGAGGGAAAGGAAAGGAAAGCGGCGCCAUAGUGGGAGGGUUUUCGUUAAUAAGCACCGACGGAAACGCCUGUGUCGAGAGAUCGCGAAGGAAACGGCGGAUUGUGGGAAGGAAGGUGGAUGAGGCGAGGCAGUCUCGCCAUUGUCGCCGCACGAAAGCGUCUGCUUCCGGUACGGUUCGGAAACAAAGCCGGGAGAGAGAGAGAGAAAGAAAGAGUCCGAGCCUGCCGGCCCAUGUCCUUGCUCUCCGGCCGCCUUCCAGUUUCUGCGCUCCUUACGAUUCGCGGCUCCUCGAAAUCGCGUAAUUACCGUUAAUCUCUUGCGACGCUCUUUGUGCCCGGCCCGAAACAUCUGUCGCUCGUCGACGAAGGCGCGAAUUAAAUAAAGGAGAGACUGCGGCUUUCCCACGGACGUCUUACUUAAAUAUCGUUAAAAUCACCAUGAUAUCGCGAAUAUUUGCAAUACGCGAUAGACUAGAUGCGUUUCGUAUUAAAAAAAAAAUACAUUUUUUGAGAUUUAAACUUAAGCCUUGUAAAGACAGAAUUUGUGAGAAUCGCUUAGAAAGAUCGUAAUCUGUCGUUUCAUUAAAAAUCUCGGAUAUGUUUGAAGAACGUGAUCUUAAUUCUAUAAAUAAAUUCUAUCAAAAAAGAAGUGAUCUUUUAGCUUCGUCCAAAAACAGUCAUUAAGUUUCAAGACGACGUUGUACUAAAUAGCCUUCAUUUAUAUUCAUAAAGGGAUUGGAAACGCCAAAAUACAGAUACCAAAACCAAUCUUAAUACCUUAAUUCAAGGACUAAUAGUCUUUUAAUAGUUAUGGUAUAAACUAAAUCUAAGUCUGAGGGCUAAGUAAUAUCAAAAAUUUAACAUCCAAUUUCACAUCAAAACCACGUAUUUGGCUGCGUAUAUACACACUUAUAUAUAUUCGAAUGUGCAUAUAUAAGUGCACCCGUACGCUCGCGCGUGUGUGCGGCCCACAUAUCCUAAUAUGUCGAGUUACGGUUACGUGUCGUGAACGUAAAACCACGGCGAGGCGAGUUUCUCUACUUCCAUUCAAUCACACGUAAUUGAGGCGGCGAGGUCUUUUGUCGAGGUCCGUGUACUCGUCAAAAACGUUUGACCCGUUUCCUCGCCCUAACGCACUUAAGGGUAUUUGCGCGCCCCGAAGAAAUUCAUAUCGCGUGACUCCGAACCGAAGUCCGAUUUUUUUUUCUUUCUCCGAACGGAACGGAGAUCGACCGGUUUUACGCUCCGGUAUGUAGGCACGCGUAAAACCUCGGUCGCCUCUGUGCGUACCGAGAGGAAACGUCGCCGGUCGCGCCGCGAUAAAGUCGAAGUUGGACCGACGCGACGCCCGUUCGACAACUCGUCCGUCCGGAUUGCUUCGUUAUGUUAAUUAGACCAUGCCUAUGUUGUAACAGAUGCCUGAUGGCUCUGAUGAUGAUGUCUAAUUUAAACGUGAGCAUUUGACGAUGUUUCUUUUAAAGCAGUUGGAAAGUGGUAUGGAAUGAUUACAACUUCUCUUAUAACGAUCCGUCAGAAUUUAUUUAGUUUCUUCGGUCACCCGGUGGAAUAUCGCAUUUUUAUUUGCUUUGAGAAAUAUUACUAUAAUAGUAUUGGUUAGAUCGGAACGAAUCAUAAUUACUAAUUGUUAUAAAAAUUAAAAUAGCUACAAAUUGUACAUAACUGUAUUUGGAAAGUGAAUGAGUUGUGUAAGUAUGUUUUAAACAUUUACUUGAAUAAACUGUGUUUCUUCCUUUGUAAGAAAAAAAAA